ACUUUCAUGGUUGUGUGGGUGGACUCUCCAUUCUUAGAAAAGCUCAGCUCCAGUUAGAUGAUGAAUUUAGUGUUCCACAUUCCAUCAAGCACUGUGGUCAAACUUGCAUCUAAUCAUAGCAUCCUGCGGUAGAAAAAGAAGCUCACUUGUUGGAUGAGAAUUUGGGACACAUCCAGUAAGACAUUCUUCCCUCGAGAGAAAUCAUAACAUAGAAGUCCUGGACAUCAUCAUGAGGAAAUAAUGACCUUUGUUCAUGCUGUUCAUGUGGUAGUAAAGAAGCAUUAGGCACACAGCUAUUAGUAUCCCCACGAUCAAAGCACCAUGCAAUUAGCAUCGGCAAAAGGAUACUAACAGGUCCCAUCAGAUGAGACUUUGAAGUUAUCUUCAUGUUUGGGGCACUUACUGCCCUCACCGACUUGAUUGUCCAAAAGAAGCCAAGCUUUCACUGCAUGUAACCCCCAUAGCACUUUGUUGAUGGGUGGGAGGAAAUGAGCAUCUGAUUCCUCCAUUCCCUUUGGAAAGCUAAAGCUACAUUAAAUGCUGCAUCUCUGAUGUACUUAUCAUUCUUGCCAUGUGCCGCAGAGCUGAUCCGAACCAUCCACACUGUCAUCGAGAAUGAAGAGAAAGUAAUCUAUUUGUCUACAGUGAAAUGAGAGGUUAAUGCUUGACAAGCAAUACUGGAAUAAAAGGAACAGAUUCUUGUCCAGGGAUUAUUCAAUUGAUCUUGAGUACUAUGGAUGUGUAUGAGUGUACAAAGUAGAAAGAGUAGAACAAAGGCUAGAAAAGCAGGAGUCAGAAGGUUCUUGUUAGAGACUUAAUACCACUAAUGUACUCAUCAUCAUCACUAUGUACAAGUGCAAUAAAGUGUCAGUGGAGCUGUGUCAUGAUGUAUUUGUCUACCACUCAAUAAUUGGAGGCAUGCAUAUGAAAAGUAGAGGGCAGAUGGAGCUCAUACGCCCACUUGGUGGGCUCCAAAGAGCAGAGGCUUUUGUGAUGGAUACUGCAUGUGUAGUCAACUUUGCAACAAAAGAUUGAAAGCUUCAAGAAGAACAUAUUCUGAGUCAAGAACUUUAUGAGUGAUGGAGCCAUUUGUGGUGCUCAAUGCUCCUCGGAUGAUGUCCCAGAUGAACAUUUUAGAAAGGGUGCCUUCGGUUGUCUAAGCUAUAAAGACAUGGCAGGAACUUUGUGGUUUCUCAGCAUCUAAAUAAUCACACCUGCAAGUUUCAUGCUAUCAUUCUGUAGCUCUGCAGCAAAUAUCAUGCUACCAAUGCAAUAAAACAUGAGCAACAUCUUUGAUCUAUGAUUCUGAUACAGUCAUUCCUUGGAGCAAGGAUGGUGACAGAAGAUGCAUCUUUGCAUCGCCAUCCAAGAACAGGAUCGAGCAAGGUGGCAUCACGAAUUGCAUCAGAGGCAUUACAUCAUACAAGAGAUCUGUAUGAAGCAUGGCUGAGGAGUGAAAGAGGGUUUGAACACUGUACCUGAGAGCACUAUGAAGCUGUCUGUGUUGCAGCCACCACCGCACCCACCAUCACACGGCUGGGAUUUGGUGCUCCGGCUCUUUAAGUUUCCACCACCCAAUGAGCGCUUCGAUCUCUCCCCUGUAGAUUAUUCCUGGUGAGGGAAGGAGCCGAAGGACCACCGCAGUCACGCUUUCUCAUUGCUGGCUUCCCCACUUCAUUCCCUGCGGUGGAGUCCCGCUUUCCAUCCUCUCCUCUGCAGGCUUUACUCCCAUGCU
rnacentral:lncRNA from 1 species